CACGUCCACGACGUAUUUCUCCUUUGGAAUAUGAUACGGUCUCCGAAAUCGAACUCGUUGAGACCGACCCAUCUGAAGAAUUGGUUCGGCGCGAGCGCUUCUUCGUUCGUCUCCCUCGACGCGCUCCAUUCCCGACCCAGAUUCUGGUCGGAAUCCCUUCUCAAAGCAGUCAGUCGGAAACCAAUCGCAGAUUCAAUAGGUUAGGGUGACCCACGGCGUCAACUCGGGACAAGCGGUACCGUCUUGUUCUUGAAUUAUUUGUGUUUUCUUUUCUUCUGCACUACCACAUCUGUGUUUUUCUUGAAUGGGAGUGGUGGUCGUUUCAGAUUCAAGCAAUAGAAAUAUACUCUGCUUAUCAUCUCUUCGUCAUGAUUACCGAUAGCUCAAUCUUCGAUUGCCUUGCUGUGAUUGUAGCGAAGGUUUCAUGUCGGAUUCUGUUUCGGUGCCAUCUUGUAUGGAUUAUCCAUUUGCAUUCACCAUCUGACGCCAAAGUUGCAUAGAUUUUUGGAUCUGUUAUAUUUCUCACCGAUGUGGUGACUCGUAGUUUUAUGUACGACUCUGAUUUGGGUUCUUUUAUUAGGGAUGUUGAAUCAUUGAGCACUAUAAGGAUUAGAUUACUAGGAUAUAAAAGAAUUAUUAAGUUGAAGCUCUUCUACAUGUAGAGGUAUCCUCCUCAAUUUGGGUGGUUCUUUUCUCAUCAUUGAUUUAAGAAUUUAAUGUGUGGAACCAAUGGUUUUGUAGAGUAUCAACUUAGACUUAUUCAGCUAUGUUUUCCCUUGAUGUUUCUUUUUAGUCAUUUUCUCUUUUUAUUCCAAUAGUUUUAUCUUCAUUUUCUAACCUUCUUUUAUGUUUACAAAAUUAAGCUUUAACUUUAAGCUUCCAUGAAAAUAUUUUGGUAGACUUUCCAACUUGAUUGUCCCAUUUGAUAUUUGCAAAAAUCAUUUCACGAUAAACUUAGGCCUGUUCAUGUCAUCAUCAAUAUCAAGAUUCUAAGUUUUUGUUCUCCCAUUCAGACAAGAUCGAUAAGAGCGAUCGGAAACAUGUACAUUCAGUUGCUAACCUAGUAAAAAACAAACCCCAUGAGACUCCCAUCAAUGCUGGAUUUGGUGAGGGUCAUCUCAGUGAUUUAAGAUAAGUUUUUCUAUAAUUCAACCUUGGUCAUUUAUGUCGCAAUGAAGUGACCUUAUCGUCGUACUAAUUUGUAUAUCGAAAUUGAAGAUGGUAAUUAUUAAUUUGUUAUACUAGUGUUAUAGAUAUUGGCAGUGAUGAAGGUCUUUGGGCAAAUUUAUUAUGCUUGUUGCUUGUUACCCUUUUAAUGGAAAUCAGUACUUGAGGGUUGCUAUCAUGGCAUCAGUCUUAAUCUUCACAUUAUUUAUUGCAUUUGUGGUGGGUUAACAUAGGCCUCGUUUUAAAGACACAAUGCUUUGGUAUGAAAACAUCCCAAACUGGUGAAUAUUCUUAUUGCAAAGUUCAGUAGAUUAUGAUAUAUAAAUUAUACCGAAUGAUCGAUAUAUAUGAUUUUGUUAUUGUUAUUGUUGUUGUAUAUAGAUUGCGCCUGUAUAUAACAAUAGAAAUUAAGAUAAUUCUCAAACUUUAUUCUUGCCAAGUUUCCAUGAACUUUAUUUUAGCUUAUCUCCAUGAACUUUAUUCUUUGCCGUGAAUAAGCACGACUUCAAACCAUCUUUUCCUCGGGCUCGGGUUCCAACUGCAUGUUUUGAGGUACCUUAAGCACUCUCUAUGCUACACAUGAAUAGCAUUACUCUUUUACUCUUUUCAGUUUCUUUUUAUCUUAUUCCCAUUUGUUAUUUGCAUUCUUGACUAUGGUGAAGUUUGGUGAUUAGAGUUGCUUUAUUCUUUCCUUGGCGGGCAACUUAGGGCCACUGUGGUCCUUCAAACGCUAUGAUACCAUCAGCUGCCGGUGUCCUGUUAGUUUCAUCUGUACCUCCUCAUUUGAUGCUGAUUACCACUUGCCUAUCAUUAAUUGAUUUUGAUCAUUAUGUUGGGCCAAAAUGUUUUUGCCUGAGAGUUCAGUCUGCACGCAACAAUUGAUUUGGAGGUCAAGGUCAUUGCAAGACCCUACUGCUUUUCCUCUUUGACUCAUCUUUAGUGUGUGCUUAACAAAAGCCAGAGGCCUUGAUGGAAGUGCUGGUAUCAAUAGGAUGUGGUCCUCGAAGAGCGAGGAGUCACAACAGGCUGAAAGCCUCACUAUCUUAGCUGGGUUGAGAAGAGUAUAAUAGCAGACCUAAGCAAUGUUGGCAUCAGAGUUGGAUUCUGAGAAGAUUAUUAGCCAUUUAAAAUCACUCUUUGGACGUUCCCUGGUUGCUGGGAUCAAUACUUACUGACUUAGCUUCGAUGGCUAUGGAAGCUAAUGUAGACGAUUUUUGCAGUGUAAGCAGGAAUGAGAAUCCUCAAUGAAACGACAGAUUCUGCUUCAAAAACAGAAGCAAAAGGGUGCUAAACUUGAUUGGCUCCAAGUUAAAACUCAAGCUGAUGUUGUCUUGCCGAUUGUAACUGUUCUUCCCAGUUUUUACUUCUAUUUUGCUGGCAAGAUUAUGAUUGCCACACCAUAAGGUGGUCAACGAGUCACUUGGUAUGAUUUGAUAUCUGUGAGAAACCCUUCCACGAAGGCCGACUCUGUAUCUGCUCCUGUGCGUUGCUCCUUGUUGCUGCUACCCUUUUCAUCAAACACAGAUGCCUUUAUCCAACAACAUCCAUUGUAUUUUGUGUGACUGAGGGUUGAAGAACCUCAUCUUUUGAGCAUGACCGGUGGUAAAACACAUACAUUGUGUUUCCCUGGAUGAUUUUUGUGUGAAUGCUUGUGAUACUACCACCUGUUCUUCUACCCUGGCACGAUGAUGACCAUUCUCUUUGCUCCAUAUAAUGGAUCAAGAAUAUC
rnacentral:lncRNA from 1 species